rnacentral:tRNA from 1 species
GGAGAGAUGGCUGAGUGGUUGAUAGCCCUGGUCUUGAAAACCGGUAUAGUUUUGAGAACUAUCGAGGGUUCGAAUCCCUCUCUCUCCU